GGGCACGAACCUGCGUCCCCUGCAUCGGCAGGCAGACUCUCAACCACUGCGCCACCAGGGAAGCCCAAAUUGUACACUUUAAACGACUGAAUUGCAUGGUCUGCGAAUAUCUCAGUGAAGCUGCUUUUAAAAAAAGGAAGUGGUCAUCUUCCACUUUCUGUUGGGACACUUGCUCUUAACCCCAGCCUCCAUACUAGCACAAGACAAAGCACCUUAUGGAGACGUCCACAUGGAGAGGAACCAAAGCUUCUGACCCUCAGCCCGGCCAACAGCCCCAGCCAACAGCCAGCACCAUCUUGCUGGCCACGUGAGUGAGCCGUCUUGGAAGGAGACCCUCUGGCAGACAGUCAAGUCACCCCAGAGGGAGGAGAGAGAAGCCAUUUUUGCCAAGCCGUGCCCAAACUGCUGAUCUGGUUUCCAGAGGUUGGAGCCAGCUGCUGGUGCUGGUUCUACGCCGUGUGAUGUGUCUUCUCUCUAAAGGACUGCUCAUCCGUGGCGCAAAGAACCCAUCCUAGAGCCACCCCAGGAACUAGAAAAAACAAAUCUUUUGCCAGAAUUAUGAUGUUCCAAGAGUACAAUGAAACGUGUGCCGUGGAGGCAUUGUUCAGACUUAUGGGCAUUACAGAAGGUUCUGUCUCAGAAAAAUACAGGAACCUGCCUGCUCAAAGAUGUUUUGGAGAUCCAAAAGAAGAGGUGCUGAUUACAUGGCAUAUUGACUUUAUGUAAACCUAUCAAGCUGUAUAAUGCUGAACUAAAACCAAUAAAACACCGGGUUAUUUUAUCACCAAAAUGGGUUUAUCCAGGAACAGAAGAAUUGCAAUUCAGGUCUCACAGUCUAUGAGGAACUACAGGCAAGCCCAGAGAGCAAAGGAAGGGAGUCUGCUUUUAUAAGGAAAAGGGGG